rnacentral:rRNA from 1 species
UACGUAGGGUCCAAGCGUUAUCCGGAUUUAUUGGGCGUAAAGCACAUGUAGGUGGUUUAAUAAGUCUCUUUUUAAAGCUCUGGGCUUAACCCAGAAUCUGGGAGAGAUACUGUUAGGCUAGUGGUCAGCAGGGGCAAACGGAAUUCCCGGUGUAGGAGUGAAAUCCGUUGAUAUCGGGAGGAACACCAAUGGCGAAGGCAGUUUGCUAGGCUGAUUCAGACACUGAGAUGUGAAAGCGUGGGGAGCGAACGGG